AUUGAACGCUGGCGGCAUGCUUUACACAUGCAAGUCGAACGGAAACAUGAAAGAGCUUGCUCUUUUGAUGUCGAGUGGCGAACGGGUGAGUAAUACAUCGGAACAUGUCCUUUUGUGGGGGAUAACUACUCGAAAGAGUAGCUAAUACCGCAUAAGACCUAAGGGUGAAAGCGGGGGCUCGAAAGACCUCGCGCAGAUGGAGUGGCCGAUGACUGAUUAGCUAGUUGGUGGGGUAAAGGCCUACCAAGGCGACGAUCAGUAGCUGGUCUGAGAGGACGACCAGCCACAUUGGGAAUGAGACACGGCCCAAACUCCUACGGGAGGCAGCAGUGGGGAAUUUUGGACAAUGGGGGGAACCCUGAUCCAGCCAUGCCGCGUGCAGGAAGAAGGCCUUCGGGUUGUAAACUGCUUUUGUUAGGAACGAAAAGGUUUUAGUUAAUAACUAGAACUGAUGACGGUACCUAAAGAAUAAGCACCGGCUAACUACGUGCCAGCCGCCGCCGUAACAC
rnacentral:rRNA from 1 species